CUGCCGUUGCUCCUAUGAAGAAAUCCUCUGAACUAAUGGCGCUGUUAUCAUUCUCUUGUAAAUUAGGUAUUUUACUUGGGUCGUCCUUCCACCAGGCAAGAUUGGGGUUUGUCUGAAUGUUCCCUUGUCUAGAAUGGAAGGAUGACCCAGAGCAACCGCUCCUAUCUACAAGAGGAAAGCUUGACUGUUCUUCAACUUGACGUUUACCUUGCUCAAGCAAUCAGUGCUGGAAUGUAUCACCAGGGAAAUGAAACCACAUGCAGUCAUUCUAGAAGACAGCUGUGGAAGAUGAGGUGGGGAGGCUACAGCUUUGCAGACUCUGUAGCCAGCAGGAUCCAUGGCCUUGCUAUCUUCAUCAGAAAUAACCUGCCAUACACUACCAGAGUACGUAACACCUCUCAGAUUGCAAUAGAAUGAAGUGCUGUCCAAGUCAAUGGCAUAAUAAUUGUCAACAUUAUAAACACCCUCUCAUGCUGUCAAUCACAUCCUUGUCUAUUUAUGA